rnacentral:rRNA from 1 species
AUUGAACGCUGGCGGCAGGCUUAACACAUGCAAGUCGAACGAGUGGCGGACGGGUGAGUAAUGCUUGGGAAUCUAGCUUAUGGAGGGGGAUACCUACGGGAAACUGUAGCUAAUACCGCGUACCAUAGGAUGAGCCCAAGGGGGAUUAGGUAGUUGGAGAGGUAAAUGAUCACCAAGCCGACGAUCCUUAGCUGGUCUGAUAGGAGGACCAGACAAACUGGGACUGAGACACGGCCCAGAAUCCUACGGGAGGCAGCAGUGGGGAAUAUUGCGCAAUGGGGGCAACCUGACGCAGCCAUGCCGCGUGAAUGAAGAAGGCCUUCGGGUUGUAAAGUUCUUUCGGUAGCGAGGCGUUAACUACAGAAGAAGCACCGGCUAACUCCGUGCCAGCAGCCGCGGUAAUUC